GGUGAUCCAGGUAAGCAGUCUCAUUAGAAAGUCAUGAGUCAGUUAGGACUGUGUCAGAAAAAGAAGAACCAGACUGACUGAAGGCUGAUGGAUGAAGAGGACGAGGAGAAUAGAGCCGACUGUCAGUCCAUGAAGAGUGACCAGUCCAAAGAAUCUCCUCUACACUUCACUACUGAACCUGGAGCCUCAGACUCAGAGCAGAACUGGAGUGAUGUCUGUGAGGAGCAGCCAGAAGGAUCCAGAAGCAGAGCUGC